rnacentral:rRNA from 1 species
UACGAAGGGGGCUAGCGUUGCUCGGAAUUACUGGGCGUAAAGCGCACGUAGGCGGAUUGUUAAGUCGGGGGUGAAAUCCUGGAGCUCAACUCCAGAACUGCCUUCGAAACUGGCGAUCUUGAGUCCGGGAGAGGUGAGUGGAACUGCGAGUGUAGAGGUGAAAUUCGUAGAUAUUCGCAAGAACACAAGUGGCGAAGGCGGCUCACUGGCCCGGUACUGACGCUGAGGUGCGAAAGCGUGGGGAGCAAACAGG